UGUGUAGUAUGGCAUGGCAUGGUGUGUGUUGUGAUAUAUGUGACAUGGUGUGGUUUGUAUGGCAUAGCAUGUAUAGUGUGGUGUGUGUGGCAUGGAGUGGUGUGAGUGGUGUGUAGUAUGGCACAGCAUGGUGUGUGUGGUAUAUGUGACAUGGUGUGGUGUGUAGUGGCAUGGCAUGUAUAGUGUAGUGUGUGUGUGGCAUGGCGUGGUAUGGGCCUGGGGGCAUAUGCAUGCAUGGUGUGUCCCACACUGCCUGGAAGACAUAUGGGAGAAGCCCUGUGAACACAGGAAGUUGGGAGAUGGAUUUGAAUGCCAGAGUGGGAUGAGGACUCAAUUCUGAGGAUGGGAACCAUAGCUCGUUUUUGAGCAAGAGAAUGUGCUAAGAAGUUGUAUAGGAAGUGUGUGAGCAUGGAUGUGGGAGAGCUUGAUACAGGGAGCUCAUCAGAGAGACUGGGCUGGUCCUAGAAACGCUGAGAAGGGUAGAGAAGAUGUAAGCCCAGAGACCUCUCAGUGGAGACAUCAGCAAUCAGGGAAGCAGUUGGGAAGAGGAGUGCUUGUGAGGGGCCAGAGCAGCUGGGCAGGGAUGGCAGAGAUGACAGGACCAAGCCAUUGUUCAUGUUGUAAAUUGGAGCUGUCUUGAAUACCAGAAAAGGCCUUCUUAAGCUCGCUUUCAGGGACAAGGAGAAGCCAUUGCUGAAUCCUAAACAGGAGAAUGUUUUAAAGAAAUUCAUACUGGAGAACUGGCAGAGAACUUCUGAGCCCUCUGGAAUGGACACUGGUAUCUUACCCAAUGCCCAGUGCUCUCUUGCAGGCCUUUUCCAAGACCCAGGGCCCAGACCAAGCUGCAUGUGGUGUGGCCUGAUGUGACGGUGUGGGAAAUGAGCUUCAGAGGCCUUGGUCUCAGAUGGAAAGGCUGGGUAUGCAGGGAGGGGCAAGUCUUGUCUAACCACAACUGGCUUGAUUUUUGCGCACGGUCCUCCCAGGCCACAGGGAGCCCCAGGACCACCAGAGAUCCCUGGAGCCAAGGGUGAACUUGGACUUCCCAGUGCCGCAGGAAUCGAUGGAGAAAAGUAUGAGGAACAUCUUGCACAUGGCAUAAUUAUUUGACUGAAGGAAUGCUGUCACUCAAAGCUUCUGACAUGUGAGCACAGUUGGCCUCAUGAGGGCUGGAGAUGCAGCUCACUGGUAGAAUGCUCACCUAUCAUGCAUGAGGCCAUGGCUUUAAUCUCUAGCACCAUACACAAAAAAAUUAAAAAGAGUUAGCCUCAUGAGUGCCCCAGAAGAGACACCCCAAUCCUGCAUACUUCCCGUAUACCCCCACCCCACCCUAAGCAGCACAUACCUCAAGCAUGCAAGGAAGCAGAGGUCGAGUGUCCCCUUC